UUUUUUGAGUGGAUCGGACCAAUGUACAAAAGUCAAGAUUGGCUAGAAAAGAAGAAGAGAAAAAGAGAUGCUAUGAUGAGCUUGCUGUGGUAAAGAAUGAGAACAAAGAAGAGGAGAGAACACUUGUUCAAUUCAUGGACAAUAAAAGGAGCAGCAGAAGUGCCAGGCCCUACAGUGCUCCCCCUGCACUGAUCGCCCAAACCGCAGCUUGUGGGCACAAGUAUGUGUGGACGAAGUGA
rnacentral:lncRNA from 1 species